rnacentral:tRNA from 4 species
UCCUCUGUAGUUCAGUCGGAAGAACGGCGGACUGUUAAUCCGUAUGUCACUGGUUCGAGUCCAGUCAGAGGAGCCA